GUGCCAGCUAUCAAUAUUAAUAGUAGAACGGAACCUCCUAUAGCUGCAGACAAUAUCAAAACUCGAUGAUUACUUCGUCUGGCAUUUUCAACUCUACUGCUGUUCUCUGCAGGACUGGGAAGUGAAGAUGGAGAAGGAGAUGAUCUUGGUGAAUGAACCACAUGAGGUUUUGCAGUAACUGCCGGUGUAGGAGAUGGUGAAAGAGGACUUGGUGAUAGAGAUGGGGAUGAUGAAGGUGCACUGUUCUCAACAGCAACUUCAGGACGGUCUAGAAGUCGGACUGGCCGAAAUUCGUUCAGGAAGUUAUUCAGGAGAGAAAAAGAUGAUACUCUUAGCAAUUUUCUUCCAGCUACAUUUCCAAGUGCUUCUGAAGUCCUUAAUAUCAUUCUCCCAUAGGGAAGUGACAAAGGUUGGGGUCUCGUAGCUUGGUUGUUAUUUUCUUGGACAUCUGGGACCAUUUCAAGUUUAUCGCUUCCAGGAAAUAUGCUGCUAAACAGCUCAUUUUUGUCUGAUAAGAUAAUUUCCAGAGAGGGAUUAUUGCAAAGCUCAGAAGGCAGCGGCUGGCUAAAGUUAUUAGAUCCCAGGUCCAGAAUCUCCAAUUCUUUUAGCUUUGCAAUCUCAUCAGGUAUGAACCCAGUAAAGGAAUUGUUACGUAAGAUUAUAAACUUCAAGUGAACCAAGCGCGCGAGAUCAGGACCUAUGGUACCACAUAGAUGGAGAUCUCUCAAGUCUAGAGACACAACAUUCCCAUUAAAGCACCCAACUCCAAACCAAGUACAUGGAUUUUCCACUCCAUCACCAUCUUUCCAAUUCAGCAAAGCCCCAAAUGGAUCUCUCUCCACUCUCUCCCUGAAUCUUAACAGUGCCAAACCCUCAUCAUUAAGAGACCAACAAAAACACAAUUCCUGAUGCACCAAACACAAAAACAGCACAAUAACCAACAAGAAGCUACGCUGACUGAAUUUCCAUUGCCCAUUCAUUUCCCAACAGCAAAA
rnacentral:misc_RNA from 1 species